UACAGAGGGUGCAAGCGUUAAUCGGAAUGACUGGGCGUAAAGGGCGUGUAGGCGGAAGACUAAGUUAGAUGUGAAAUUCCUGGGCUUAACCUAGGGAGGCCAUCUAAUACUGGUUAACUAGAGUACAGGAGAGGGAAGUGGAAUUUCCGGUGUAGCGGUGAAAUGCGUAGAUAUCGGAAGGAACACCAGUGGCGAAGGCGGCUUUCUGGCCUGAUACUGACGCUGAGGCGCGAAAGCGUGGGUAGCGAACAGG
rnacentral:rRNA from 1 species